CUCCUCAUAAGUCAUGGGCUUCUGCCCCCUAAUCAUUCGUUGCCUUCCACUGGACUCUCUCCAAUUUGUCCACAUCCUUUCUGUAGUGGGGGGCCCAAAACUGAAUGCAAUAC